UGGAAGAUAAGUAUCUUACAACUACCACAUCUCUUGUAGUUAACUCCUGCAUAAUGAUGUCCUUGAGAAACAUUUUCUCCCAUUUCCACUGAGAGCUCUACAUCUCUUCUCAGGAUGAGAAAAAAAAUGACAGGUAUAAAUCCAGAAGGAUAUUCAAGUUCUGUAUUGACAAACUACAUCAAAGUGAAUCCACAUGCCAAAAAUAUGAGGAAAGCUGUUCUAGGAGAACAUGAGAUGCUGAGAAUACAUGGAGGAAGUACCACCCAAAGCUGAUCUUGUGCUCAUUCCCAAGCAUCAGUUACUGCAGCUGUUAGCAAGAGGGCUGCAUGAGAUGGGCUUCAGUGAGGCAGUACUGCUGAUCCUGUGUCUGCUCAUCUGCAAGACGGUUUUCUCAUUUCUUCAAGUAGGACCAGAGCCCUGAAGGCAUUUCUACAUAAACUGUCACCUGUAAGGGAUCAUUGCUUACCUUAUCCUACUUGAAGAACAAUGACAUGAAAUCUUUCUGAGACCAGCAUCUCUCUAUCAGAUCAAUAGGAUGAGAGAACAAGAGACACCUGCAGAGAGUGAUUCAUUCUGUGCCCAUCCAACACCUCUGUCAGGAUGGAACAAAUCUCCUCACUGGGAGCCAUUGCUCUCCAUCAGUUCUCGGCAGAAGAUACACAACGGAUUUCAAGCCUGACUUAUAGAUGCCAAGUGAGGUGGAUUCCACUGUGGAUGACUAAUUUUUCUGAUUCAUCAUACCCGAAUUUGGCCUUUAAAAUUUGGGUAUGUAAUCGAAGUUAGUUAUCUGAGUUCUGUAUCUGUACCAUGAUCAUUCCUUCUAUGGGGAGGCUGGACAUGGGUGGCUGGGGUGAAACGUCUUGGGAUGAAGUAUAUAUUUUGCUGAGCCUGUAAAUCCUAAAAGCCAUGUGUGCCCCUAGUUUGCACUUAUGAAUCCUCAUGCUGGGUGUCUCAAAUUUAAGUGUGGAAC